rnacentral:rRNA from 1 species
UACGUAGGGGGCAAGCGUUGUCCGGAAUCAUUGGGCGUAAAGAGCGCGUAGGCGGUCCGGUAAGUCCGCUCUGAAAGUCCGGGGCUCAACCCCGGGAGGCGGGCGGAUACUGUCGGGCUAGAGUCCGGAAGAGGCGAGUGGAAUUCCUGGUGUAGCGGUGAAAUGCGCAGAUAUCAGGAAGAACACCCGUGGCGAAGGCGGCUCUCUGGGACGGUACUGACGCUGAGGCGCGAAAGCGUGGGGAGCAAACAGG